CAAAGACGGAGAGGGCGCAGUGGUCCCGCGACCAUCAAACCAACAACACCGCUCGCUACGCAAAACGGCGCAUCCUGCUGCGCCCCCUUCUUCAUCUUCUUCUUCUUCCACCUCGUCCUCAUCCUCGUUCUCGUUCUCGUCCUCGUCCUCGUCGUCCUCGUCCUCGCCGUCGUCGUCGUCGUCGCCGUCGUCGAGUCUGGACCAUCUUCUGCUUCCGUUGCUUCUCGUGCUCGCACCAAGUUCUUUCCAUUCUUCCGCUCUCCAUCUAUCCCACUCUUUCGUAACCUUUUAUUUAUCUAUCUAUCUGUCUAUCUAUCUCUCGAAUUUUAUCAUCUAUCUCUGACUGUUGCCGCAAUCGUUGGACCGAAGGACAAAUACAAAUUCCAAGAAGAUUCGUCGAACAUUGAGAAAACUAAAUUGGAGAAGACGUUUCGCGACGAAGAUUUAUAUUUUAUCACUCUUUCUCUUGAAUUUAUCCCUCGCUCUUUUUCUAUCCUACUUACACCUACGAGUCUUUAUUUAUACCUUACUCGAGAGAGGUGAUCGAGAAAAAAGAAGAUAAUUCAUCGGCUGCCAACAGAUAAAGAAGAUCAUCGAAGGAUUCAACGGAGGGGAUCUUUCUUAAGAUACCAGGUAGAACCAUGCGGUUCGUCGCCCUGGUACCAGAGUUCUCAUGAAUGAAGGAGGGUUCAACAGGAUCGAUGGAGAGGGCGUGUCUUCCUCGAGUAAGGAGAGGAGAGAGGAGACCGAGGAACAAGGGGAGGGGGUUCGUAUCCGUGACGUUUUCGACCCCACCUGGGAAGGGUACAUGACGGAGUACACGUGCUCGAUUACGUCACGAGAAUCUUCAAGCAGGACGCGAAAGGGCUAAUCCAUUCAAUUCGUUGUCUUGUAAGGAUCGGUUACCACAACUACGACACCUUCUUGACUUUAAGUGAAACGAGCGAGUGUACUUUUUUAGGAAUACGUCUCUCUGUGCGAACCUUCGAACAAGUUUAAGACAAGAGUGCAUCUUCGACGUCAGCAUGAUCGAAGGCCGAGUGAACAAAUAAACGUAUAGAAAGAGAGAGGAUUUGUGAGUCUGUGCUCCUUGCGUUCACUGCGGGCUUCCAUGUGCCAACUUUUCAAAAUUCAUAAGGCACGCGGUGAAUGCCAAGAGCGGACCAAAUUCAGCAAUAUCUCCGUCCAGUUGGUGUGUAGCCUCGAGGAAGCCUUCUCGAUCUCUUAGUGACUUCGAACAAAACUCCAAGGUUCUCGUCGAAAAUUCUCGCCUAUUCAUUGCCAUAUCCUUUCCCUCCUUUUUUCCCGUUAAGCGAGGUCAGUUCUUCCUAUCCGCUCUUCUCAUUACUUACCGAUGUACAAAUUAUGCAGGAAACAUUAAAGACAUUGGAAAGGAUAAUGCGUAUCUCUCCUGGCACUUUGAUAGUAACUGCUAGAGCUGCUUCAUCGGUGACAGAGUCAUCGGUUGUAUCGGAGAACGACGAGAACUACCAGAAGGAAAAAAAAACAAAAAAAAGAAACAGAAGAUUAGGAAGAAAGAGGACUGGGAGACGAAGAAAAGAUGGGUAGAAGAGAGAGACGAACUCGCAAUCGUUUUAAGUGUCCCAUCGGACGCGAAUGUAGGAUGGAAGAGAGAAAAAAGGGGAUGGAGGUCGGACUUAAAGUACGAACCCCCGUAAUGGAAAUUGGGGAAUUCCCGGGUGUACGACGAAAACGGCCGGUUGUAUCGACCGAGUCGUCGAGCACGAAAUGAGAGAAGUGGGGAGAGCUUAGGGUUGGACGGACGUUGCUUGGCAACCCACCCUUACUCGCAGCAUCCAUCCUGGACCAAGCAUAUUCCUACUACUACUAUUACUACUACUACUACUACUACGACUACGAUGACUACUACAAUUGCGAUUACUAUUACUACUACCACUACUACCGGCGGCUCUGUUGCUGCUAUUACCAGUACCACCACCAGCAACAUCACCACUACCAACGUCAAUUGAUGUGUCGCAUACAUCCUCGGCCAGCCACAGCCCAACUCUAUACGAUCAUGCUCGUCGACGUUUCUAGCCUCCACUUCCUCUUCUUCUUCUUCUUCUUCGUCGUUAAAUUUAUCUCGCGCAGUUCCAUCCAUUAUUCGUUGAAGAUGCUCAACCAUUAUCUUUUCCUUUAUAUUCUACUACACGUUCGAGCUUUUCCACAAUCGUUAUCUCUAAUGUACUUCCGUAGGUUUUAUCUCGUGCCUGAUUGUUACCACUUUUUUAUAGAAAAUCUUUAGGAUUCUAAUAGAAAAAUAUUGUCUCGUCUUUUCGAAUAUAAUAAUAAUAGAUUUUUGUGUUCGAUUAACAAACGUAUGUAUUAAUUGAUAUUAUUGCUGCAUAUCAAAAUAAUUUGCUUGAAAUAAAAUUAAUGAAUGAAUACACUAUCUCGAUAUUGAAAUGUGGCAUUGUAAAGAAUAAUCAACUUAUAUUAAUAAACGAUUAUUAUUGA